rnacentral:tRNA from 1 species
AGCUAUAGGGACAGCGACAGCCUUUUAAGCUGUAGAAAGGUGAUCUCCACCCACCCUUAUCGA